GUUGAUCUCUUUUCCUUUAGUUUCAUGAACUGUGAAUCCCAGGAACCGGAAUUGAAGAAGAUCCUCGGGAGUAUGAGUGAGGCCGUCGUCUUUUUUGACUUCUUUAUUCUUCUUCUCGGCGAAUGUAAGAUAUUCCUCAUACGUUUGGAUGAAGAGACUGGAUUCAUGCCACCUCCACGUCAUCUCCUUCAUGGCUAGCUGCAGGCUUUCUUCUCAACUACGUACUCUCGGUCUCUCCCACUUCCUCGCUCAGUCUCAAUCCUCUGAGUAGGGCAACGGUUGAUGAUGGUUCAUAGGUAGAGGUAUCAUAUAUUUAUAGAACGUAUCAAGUCCUAAGUGGAAGCGGAAUAGAGGCAGCAUCUAUUUCUAGAACAUAGUAAUUCCUAAGUUGAAGCGGAAUGGAG
rnacentral:lncRNA from 1 species